GGCUAGAUGGCAGAAUGGUUACGCAAAAGAUUGCAAAUCUUAUAAUAUUGGUUCGAUUCCAAUUCUAGCUU
rnacentral:tRNA from 2 species